AUCCAGCUGACGAGUUUCAAAUGGGACGAAACGCGCGUACGGUAU
rfam:Schistosoma rodhaini strain Burundi genome assembly, scaffold: SROB_scaffold0001240